rnacentral:rRNA from 1 species
GCCGCACGGCAUGGCGGACUGCUCACUAACACGUGGAUAACCUACCCUUGGGUCGGGUAUACAACCCGGGACACUGGCGUACUAAUUCCCGAUACAUCUGGACUGGCUGGAAUGCGCUCUACAUUUACAGCUCCGCGCACCCAAGGCAUGGGUCUGCGGCCUAUCAGGCUGCUAGUGGGUGUAAUGCUACCUACUACCCUACUACGGGUACGGGUUGUGAGAGCAAGAGCCCGGAGAUGGAUUCUGAGACCACGAAUCCAGGCCCUACGGGGUGCAGCCAGGCGCGAAAUCUUUACAAUGCGGGCAACCGCGAUAAGGGGACCUCGAGUGCCGACAUCUAAUGUCGGCUGUCGUGAUGCCUACCAAGCAUUAUAUAGCAAGGGCCGCGCAAGACCGGUGCCAGCCGCCGCGGUAACACCGGCGGCUCGAGUGGUG